GACGAACGCUGGCGGCGUGCUUAACACAUGCAAGUCGAAAGAAGUGGCGAACGGGUGAGUAAUACGUGGGUAACCUGCCCUCCUUUUUGGGAUAAGCCUUGGAAACGGGGUCUAAUCCCGAAUAAAGGGGGAUGGGCUGGCGGCCUAUCAGCUUGUUGGGGGGGUGAUGGCCUACCAAGGCGACGAUCUCUAGCUGGUCUGAGAGGAUGAUCAGCCACACUGGGACUGAGACACGGCCCAGACUCCUACGGGAGGCAGCAGGGGGGAAGAGUGAACAAUGGGCGCAAGCCUGAUGCAGCCAGGCCGCGUGUAUGAAGAAGGCCUUAGGGUUGUAAAGUACUUUCAGCGAGGAGACGUUACUCGCAGAAGAAGCACCGGCUAACUCCGUGCCAGCAGCCGCGGUAAUUC
rnacentral:rRNA from 1 species